UAAACGGGAAGCUAAGCCAUCCCACAAAUCUGUUCUCAGUUCGGAUCGCAGUCUGCAACUCGACUGCGUGAAGCUGGAAUCGCUAGUAAUCGCGGAUCAGCAUGCCGCGGUGAAUACGUUCCCGGGCCUUGUACACACCGCCCGUCACACCACGAGAGUUUGUAACACCCGAAGUCGGUGAGGUAACCUUUUGGAGCCAGCCGCCGAAGGUGGGACAGAUGAUUGGGGUGAAGUCGUACCAAUAUAG
rnacentral:rRNA from 1 species